GCCAAACCAGCUAGGGCCCUAUGAAUAGCUUUUAAAAAGCCAUUACUUUUGGCUGUGUCCACGGGUGUUGAAAGGAAGGAGGGUUGGGGCUGCUAGCGGUCACCUUUCCCCAGAAGAAGCCCACCUGGGAGUAAAGUCACAUCCAACAGGAGCCGAAACUGGAGGUGAAGCCAAGGCACCAUCUGGGACCCUGGAUCCAGCCACGCCUGAAGGCGAUCAUGCCUUUAGACUUCCCAGUGUUUGCUCUGAGCUGAGCUUCUGUCCUGCACCUGGGGGCAGAGCCAGCCUGUGCUCAUCUUCCCCGUCCCUCCGCCUCCUCCUGACAGAUGUUCUGUGGUUGGUUUACAGUGAGGCCGUCCUUUGACGUGACUCCUCCCUACUUGGAAUAAAAUCUGCCUGUAAUUGGCUGGAAAAAAAAAAGAACCAUUACUUUUGUUUUCUGAUUACAGAGUUCAAUAUAUAGAUUAACCAAAUUUAUAUUAUUAAUUACAUUUUUAUUCCUUCUCCAUUUUCAUUUAUUUAGGCAGAUGUGAGUCUAAGAAACAAUGUGAGAUAGAUAAAUAUGGGGCCACCCAAAGAGGGGGAACGUUCCCCCAGUGUCCUGCCGUAACCUGCCUGAACAAACAUAUAUAUAUAUAUGUAUUUUUUCCUUAACAUUUUGGACAAGAUUUAGUAUAUUGACUCAAGUUUAAAAACAAAGAGUGUGACAGGAAAUGCUUGCAGAGGCUAGUGUACCAGCCGAUGUGGGGGCUGGGACCGCGGGUGGGGAAGUGUGCAUGCUGGGCCUGGACCUUCCCUGGCUGAGGUGUGCCAAUGUGCACAGGUAUUUAGUGACAUGGUGUAGAGAGGCAAAAA